UACGUAGGGCGCGAGCGUUGUCCGGAAUUAUUGGGCGUAAAGAGCUCGUAGGCGGCUUGUUGCGUCUGCUGUGAAAUCCCGGGGCUUAACCCCGGGCGUGCAGUGGAUACGGGCAGGCUGGAGGCAGGCAGGGGAGAAUGGAAUUCCCGGUGUAGCGGUGAAAUGCGCAGAUAUCGGGAGGAACACCGGUGGCGAAGGCGGUUCUCUGGGCCUUACCUGACGCUGAGGAGCGAAAGCGUGGGGAGCGAACAGG
rnacentral:rRNA from 1 species